CGGCGCGGCGUGCUGCGGGGGAACGGGACCAGCACGGGGCUGCGUGGGCCGCCUCGUGCAUCUCAUUCGCACCUAGGUCGGUCGGUCGGUCGGUCCCCGGACGUUACGCUGCUACCAUGCCGAGCUCGCUGCCAUCAUAGCAGGGCUGGCUCGGAGUGGGCGCCGCGCGCCGUGCCGUCGUCAGUUGCUCCGCGGCAGUCGCGCGGGGGAAUACCCUCCCAGCUCUUCGAAAAUGCAGUCGUCUGCCGCGGUUUUUUGGGAGGGCCGGUGGGCGCCACGUCGGUCGCCCGCCCCGCCAGCCAGCCUCACGGAGGACCAGGAGGACUCCUCUCGGCAGAGCGUCGCGGUGACCACGCACUAAAACCACGUGGUCGCCGUCGCGUGUGGACUGCAGCAGUUUUGAUGCGUGUUGCCGCAUCGUUGACACCCCAUGGAGUCGGGAAGGAGAGCGGAAGGAGCUGGACCGGAAGUGGCCCAGGACGCUGCACUUGAUCAGGCUUAGCUGGCGGAAGGUCGCACUCUACGAACUGCUGUAUUUGACCAGUUCGUAGAGUGCGGCCGUCCCCAGGCUAACCCGCACUCACGCGAGCAGACUGGACACAGGCCGCCGCACCAACGUAAGUGAUUUGUUUAAUUUCUCUCUGGAAAUCAUGCGCUUGGCCGCCGCCCUAAAACCUGCUAUGAAGAAAUGAGAUUAUUUUUCGAGAGUAAGGACCAGAAAGCCCGCCUCCUAUUUGCAGGGGUUAAAGACUGACUGCGAUAAAGCUGACAAGAAGAAGAAUGCGGGGAACAAGAAAACAAAGCUUAACCAAAACGGUUUAUUGUCAUUUGUUGGAUACGUUCUCGUGGUUUUUCAAGAGAUCUGAUUGGCUGAUUUCUAACUAGAACAUCUUCAACAAAUGACAAUCGCAGUCAGUCUAAACCCCGCGCAAUCGAGGUUGCGCGAUGGAUGGACCAGGAGAUCAGACGUCAUUCCUCUCAGCUUCUUCACUUUCGACAAAAAUGUCUCAUUGUGCAUUUUGCGAUCAUCUCUGUCAACCCGGGCUAAUCAUGCACUAGAGCCGCCCUCGAGCCUCGGCGAGGGGCAGAAGUUCUUCGACGGCCGAUAAGGUGACCGCGCGGACCGCACCGAAGAUUAAACAAGAUCUAUUGUAGUGUCACCGAGAGACUACAUAGAAUAGACUCUGUAGUCUCUUGCUGUCACCAUACACAAACAUGAAAUUACACAUCUUCACCAAGGCAAAAACUACCAGUUUGUUUUUCACUCGGCGAUAAAGGGCAUCAUCCAGAAAGGACGUCCGUCAUGCGCCGGUAUGAACCUGCCAAGUUCAGCGGAUGCAAACUCUCAUAGCGCCGUAGUGGUAGGCAAUAUCUCGCCUGAAGUGCAUGCAUGUACUGCGGGGUGGCCUACCUUGAGUUUCGCCGUUUCGCAGACGCCGAGCUCCCGUUUAUAUACCGAAUGAAUCUGAGAAAAACGCACAUACCUUCUCGAAGCCUAAUAAAUGUAACUACUCCGCCAGUGGUCGAAAACAAAGUUUCUCUACUACCUUGUCCAUUUGACUGCCCAUUGUCCGUCCGUCCAUAAAGCACCAACAGUGGAAUAAACUUUCAGACAGACUGACCGACAGACAGGUGGAAAAGAAAUGCACGCAUCAGAUUACCUAUCAGCGAGCC